GCCAAAGGCAGGAGAGGAAGAGAAGCGCUUCCAGCUAAAUAAACCUGCUCGCUCCGUGUCCACUUUAUAAAAACAAAUGUCUUCCUGGAGUUUCUCCAACGGCUGUUUAUUUGCAGUUGAGUUGACAGUAAGGACUGAAUCAGCCUUCCAGAGAGAUGGAGGAAUACGGGCUAAUGUGGGCCAUUCCAGGAUAAUUCAAUAGAGACCUCAGCACGACUCUUUCCAUAACACACUUUCCCUGAGAGGAUAUGAACAAUGAAGCUGUACAUGUGAUGCUGGACAAAUGCUGGGCCCGCGUUCAACACCUACAGUGUUACAAAGUAAAGCUCUUCCAUGUUCUUUACCGUCCAGAAUAUUUCGUCGCUGUACGAGGGACGAGAUUAGUCAGACCGCUAUUGUGUCGUUGUGAUCCGCGGGCACUCGGAAAGCUUUCUCUGUGCGAUAAGGCCUCGGACUUUUCCUCUCCGCCCUGACCGGGGCAGACAGCGGCUCUAAGCGGUGCCCUCCACGUCGGCAUGAGGCUCCUCCACUGUGGGCUCUGAUGGAUGAUGCAGAUAAGAAGGGCUGUUGUGACUGGGCCGACUAAAGGCCAAGCAGGGU
ensembl:lncRNA